CUCAUAAUAGCUCUAAAAUUUAUUUUUAUGUCCUUCAGAAUUCAAAAGGGUGAUCUGUUUUGCUAAUUUGGGGGAAAACUCUCGUAGUCUAUACUCAAGAACAGUUAAUACUUUACAGUGAACUCAAAUCCCUCAGCACUGUAGGUUGAGAGCUUCUGAUGAUGUAGUCAGGGGAGGCUCUUUUCUGGUGAGAGUCAUUGAUUACACAGCAUCCAUCACUAGUAACAGACAGAGCAGAUGCUAUUUUCAAAUUCUUUAAGUCACUUUCUAUUUUAGGAUCAGGAAAGAUCUACACUGUGUUAUGGAAAAGUAGGUUCUUGUUUCAUUGCAGAAAGGAUUCAGAGACAGACACAGAGGUCAAGAAGAUAAAGUGAGGAUUUACUGAGCGAUGGACAGCACACUCUGAAGAGGGGAGCGGGCAGGCUCAGUUGGGACACAAGUGGUGGAGGGAUUCCCGAAAUAUUUAUGAAGGACAAACACUGUCUCCGGAGGCCUCUGGUGUCCCCAUAAUUUCAUAAAGAUGAUUCUGAAGUGGUUCAACUACCAUCGAAAAUCAUGAUUUUGAAUAUUACAGAAUCCGGGGAUGCUUUUAUAAUCCUCUCUUGGGAUUUUCCAUGGACAUUCCUUCCUCUACAGUCUCCUUGAACUUUGCUUGUCCUGAGGGCUCCACUCACCACCCACAGCUCAAGCCACCGUGUGCGGUACCUGGGAGUGAUCGGUCCCCACCUUCUACACAGUUACACUCUUCUCUUCCAUCUGACUUGAACGUUCAACAAACUUCUGGACUUUUAGGUCUAAAUAAUGCACAGAUAUCUCAACAUCAGGGCAUCUAAACUCUCCCAGUUUUACCUGUUCCUUCUAAAUAUACGACAUCAUUGUUCCUGAGAAUUUUUCUGAUGAGUCCUUUGUUCCCUGCAUCCCACAUCCAGUCAGGGAACAGGUCUUGCCAAGUGGGCCUCCUGGGUACUUGUCAAGUCACCUCCUCUCCUAACCCCACUCCAGGUAGCUGAAUUCACCAGCUGAAAUGCCCUUCUUACUUGUUACUCUGCCUCCAGUUCUGUCCCACUCAAAUGCUUCACCCAUUAUCAAAAUGAUCUUUAUAACAAGGAAAAUGGUCCAUGUUACCUCUUUUUAAAGCUUCUCUUUGAUUCCUGGAGGCCCCACCCUGACGUGGCGAUCAGAGUCCACUCCUGCUCGGGAGGCCCUGGGUUGAGGAGCUCUCCGCUCAUCUUUCUCCCAACCCCAUCUUCUGAUUGUUGCCGUUGCAAAACCAAGAUGGCAACUUUUCCCUGCGCAUGGCA